rnacentral:rRNA from 1 species
CAACCAAAGCUGGCGACCGGCGCACGGGUGAGUAACACGUAUCCAACCUGCCUCAUACUCGGGGAUAGCCUUUCGAAAGAAAGAUUAAUAUCCGACAGCAUAUAUUUCCCGCAUGGGUUUUAUAUUAAAGAAAUUCGGUAUGAGAUGGGGAUGCGUUCCAUUAGUUUGUUGGGGGGUAACGGCCCACCAAGACUACGAUGGAUAGGGGUUCUGAGAGGAAGGUCCCCCACAUUGGAACUGAGACACGGUCCAA